CUGAAAGACUUUUUGUCCUUGAGAACUUUCACAACAUAGAUAGAUAAAUAUAUAGAUAGAUAGAUAUCAUAAUAAAAAAAGGUUGAAUGGUUGUAAUGAAAUAAGAAUGCAUCUGAAGAAUGCAUCUGAAGAAACCAGUUCCAAUUUUAGAGGUUAAUUAGUUAGUCGAGGUUUAAUUAUAACAUAUUUGUUUCACAUCAUUGCAUAAAAAUACCAAAAAGUAAACAUAGAAAUGUCUGUUCAGUUAUUAAUGAUUGUGUUUGCUAAAUGAUAUCGUGAUUCUUUUAGAAAAUAUUUGAUUUUUGUAGUAAUUGUUUUCAUAAACUUAAUUCAUUUCCAGAUUGCAUUUAGACUUACCAUCAUGAUGUACAUAUAUCCUCACAACUAUUCUUGUAUAAAAGCAUUCCAUUCAUUCCUUCAUGGUCAAAAUAUGAAAAUACUUAGUGUAAAAUAUAUGCGGGGAUGGAAACACUUUUAAAAAUACCACUUCUAUGCACUUGUACAGAGUUUGAACACAUAGCAUGGGUCGAGAGAGUUAUCCCCCUUGCUGUGUCAUAUAUUCAUUUUACUCCGAUUUCUACAUCUACUAGUUAUAUAACCAUAGAACCUUUUUUAACUAUCUUUUUCAUAGACAGACAUAUUGUUUAGUCAAAUAGUUUUUAUUGAGGUUUAUCGUAGAGGUUAGUGAGUUUCUUACUUGUGAUAUGGAGUUGAUCAAAAUGGGUACGAAGAAGAGGCUGGGGUGUGUGGAGAUGUGACGAAACGUUGCAUCCACUACAGAAAUCUGCAAAGCCAUUUAGAUUAGUCAUGUGUCUGCCAGGAUCUGUUUCCACAAAUUGGUUUUACUAAGACAGUUGAAACUUCCCUACUUCCACAGCAAGUUCAGGUCUAAAUAAUGAAAGUUUUACAUUUAAUUACAAUAAUCUGAUAAUUGUAAAUAUAUUAAUAUUAUAUAAAUAUACUUUACUUACGUGAACCUUGAGGUAUGACACUAGCACUGAAAUUGUUUUGUGGAAACUAGUUUCAAUUGUAUGCUAUUUUCUUGAAUAUAGUGUGCACUUAUUUCCAAAAAUCCCCUAGAUUUUUUGGGGGGGUGUAUUAUCCUCUGGUGCAGACUAUAUAUCAAGGAAAUACGAUACUUCAAAUUCAUCAUUUGUAAAAAUUUGAAUUUCUAUAUAUUCUAUAUAUAUUUCUUUUAAUUUAAGGUCUUUAAACAGCCCUAAAAUGAAUAGGAUUGUGUACAGAAACACUACACAUAGAGAUAGAGACUUGAUAAAAAUUGUGUUCGAGGACCUUUGACUGUUGUAUGUAUUGUAUGCUGCGGUAGUGGUCACUACCGGUUGGCGGAGCGGUCACUACCCAGGGAGUGGGAGUGGUCACUACCGGUCUGGGAAGUGGUCACUACCAGGCUGGGGAGUGGUCACUACCAAGCAGGGGAAGGGUCAUGACCGGUUAGAGGAGUGGUCACUACUGGGCAGAGGUUUGGCUUUGCCGGUUACUGUAGUCGCUGGACUUGAACUCAGGUAGGUAAAUCUUGUCGGAGUUACCGAAUCAUACUAGUUUUAUUUUUGUAUUGUUUCCGUAACAAGUUUGACAAGCAUCUCCUAUAUCAUCUGUGAUGUUAAUCAAGACUUUUUACAUGGAAUUAAAAUACUUUUAUAAAGUUUA
rnacentral:lncRNA from 1 species